rnacentral:rRNA from 1 species
GACGAACGCUGGCGGCGUGGAUUAGGCAUGCAAGUCGAACGGUAGGAUCCUUUCGGGGAUCUGAGAGUGGCGAACGGGUGAGUAACGCGUAGGUGAUCUACCUUCAAGUGGGGGACAACCCAGGGAAACUUGGGCUAAUACCGCAUGUGUCCGUAAGGAUAAAGCCGGCCUCUGAAUAUGCUGGUGCUUGGAGCUGAGCCUGCGUCUGAUUAGCUAGUUGGUGGGGUAACGGCCUACCUAGGCGAUGAUAAGUAGGCGGCUUUAACGAGUGGUCGCCCACACUGGGAUUGAGAUACGGCCCAGACUCCUACGGGAGGCAG